GUGAAUACAUUUCAAGAAGCAACCUCCAUGCCACUUCUCUGUAUUUGCUGGAGCUCAGAACACAAUACCCCAAAGUAUAACAGCAUUGCAUGUUGAGUACUUUCAUGGCUGUGUCCUCUUAUGAUGGGUUAGAAGAGGUAUCACACCUUUCCACCCCAACAGUUUCUGGCACCCAAAGUGGGGCAGCUGAGACACCUGACUUGCUCUGGAACCUGCAGACAAAAUCCUGGAACAACUGAACUCCAUUGAAAUGCUCUGAAAGCAAGAAAAAAGUUUAUGAAUCUCUUUAACAACAAAAGUAUACUGAAUAAUUUUCUAACCUUUUGCUAAAAGCAAGUCAUGAUCCUCAUUCUGGAGGUGCCCUCCCCAAACCUGGAAGAAAAGAACAUCCUCAUCUCUGAAGACAGAG
rnacentral:lncRNA from 10 species